rnacentral:tRNA from 1 species
UUAACUAAAACCAAAAAGAGGUAAAUUAUUGUUAAUAAUUUCACUGAACUAAUUAAUAAUAAUGUUCUAGUUGAA